GGGUAGGUCGUAUAGCGGCAAUUACACCUGACUGUAAAUCAGGCGGUUUUACCUUCGAUGGUUCGAGUCCAUCUCUGCCCA
rnacentral:tRNA from 1 species